rnacentral:tRNA from 1 species
GGGCGUGUAGCUCAGCACGGACAGAGCACCAGCCUCCUAAGUUGGGGGUCGUGGGUUCAAAUCCCACCACGCCCG